GGAACUGUGCCUGAAGAAAAGGACCACUUUGAUAGAGUGUAUAAUGAGGGUUAGAGUCCCUCCAGCUCCU
rnacentral:tRNA from 1 species